UUUGGCAUCUGGCAAAGAAAGGCGCAGUCAGUUUUACACCCAGACAACCCUCCAUACUUUUUUUUUUUCUAAUUUUUUUUUUUAAUAUUUUUCCGAGGGAAAGCGCCGCCGCCAGAGCCCUCAAGACCGAGACCCGAGUCAGACUGAAGCAGGAUCCCUGAGACUGCGGCACUGCACCUGGCCACUGCACCCAAGGAAGGAGAAAAAAAAACAACAACAGAGAAGGAAGGAGAGGGCGAACAAGUUUCCAAGAGCGUUCAGGGGAUGGGCAGCGCUGCCCCCGAGCUGGCUGCCUGCCCACCGCGAAUCUGGGGACACCUCCAGCCCACCCAGCAUCCCGGAGAAAGCAUCGCCGCUACUGCUGCCUUGGAGUUUUGGCAAACAGGAGAAGAAGGAGGGGGGGGGGAGACCAAAACGAGGUACCAAGUAGCUCGCAGAAACCUCACUUUUCUCGUAGCCCCCACCGAAAGAAAGCGGGACAAAUCUUAUUAACACGACUGUCAAGAUAGAGCCAGAUUCAUGUUACAUUAAAGCCUUCCCAACUUUGCUUUCCGAAAUUUUAUCUCCUCGGUACGUUUUAAACCGGAGACAAUCACAUCAUUUUAAUCUGACCCCUCUCUGGGUCAAUCGGUCGCGCAAGGAUUAAUUAUUGUUUACAAGGCCUGCUUCACACUAAUUUUGUUCCGAUGCUUUCCUCAUUCUCCUCCUCCAAAACGCACCUUAAUAAAACUGAAAUUUCUUCAGUUUGGUA